rnacentral:rRNA from 1 species
UCGAGGGGCAGCGGGGAGGUAGCAAUACUUCCGCCGGCGACCGGCGCACGGGUGAGUAACACGUAUGGAACCUGCCCGUAGCAGGGGGAUAAGCGGAAGAAAUUCCGUCUAAUACCGCGUAAUAACUCCGAGAGGCAUCUCUUGGGGUUUAAAGGGUAACACCGGCUACGGAUGGCCAUGCGGCGCAUUAGCUAGUUGGCGGGGUAACGGCCCACCAAGGCGACGAUGCGUAGGGGUUCUGAGAGGAAGGUCCCCCACACUGGUACUGAGACACGGACCAGACUCCUACGGGAGGCAGCAGUGAGGAAUAUUGGUCAAUGGGCGCGAGCCUGAACCAGCCAAGUCGCGUGAGGGAAGACGGUCCUAUGGAUUGUAAACCUCUUUUGUCGGGGAGCAAAAGACGUCACGUGUGGCGUUCCGAGAGUACCCGAAGAAAAAGCAUCGGCUAACUCCGUGCCAGCAGCCGCGGAAUACGGAGGAUGCGAGCGUUAUCCGGAUUUAUUGGGUUUAAAGGGUGCGUAGGCGGAAGAUCAAGUCAGCGGUAAAAUUGAGAGGCUCAACCUCUUCGAGCCGUUGAAACUGGUUUUCUUGAGUGAGCGAGAAGUAUGCGGAAUGCGUGGUGUAGCGGUGAAAUGCAUAGAUAUCACGCAGAACUCCGAUUGCGAAGGCAGCAUACCGGCGCUCAACUGACGCUCAUGCACGAAAGUGUGGGUAUCGAACAGGAUUAGAUACCCUGGUAGUCCACACAGUANACGAUGAAUACUAAUUGUUCG